rnacentral:lncRNA from 1 species
GCUGGGGUCCUGGUACACAGCAAAACUCCCACCUCCUGCUGAGUCCUGGUGGCUGCUGCAGCUGCCUGGGAAAAGAGGCAUUGCAGCUGAGGGGAUGCAGGGGCUGGCACUGCCCUCUUCACCAGGCUGCAGCAGGUUCAGAGGCACAGCUGGUGAAGGCCAACAGAGUAACAGAAACCUGUAGAGCCUGAUCACCUGCUGUAUAUUUUCAGGACCUUGUAUUUACUUCUGUUACAGAAUCAUAGAAGAGCCCAUGUUGGAAGCAGCCACGAAAGAUCUUCUGAUCCAGCCACUUAUGGGAAAAGGAACCCUAUCUAGCACCCUGGGACUGGCCCAACUUGAAAACCUCCAGUGAUGGGGACUCUACCAUAUCCUUGGAAAGGUUGUUCCAGUGUAAAAAAUGUCUUUAUUCUAUCAUGGGAACCAGCCCCACUUCAAGGGAAGGAAACAUGUCUGUCAGCAGCUGACAGGACACACAGCUGCUCAUUGGGCCUGGAGCUGGAUGCUUGGCAUGGUACAAAGGCAGAUUCUGGGAGAAGGAAAGAAGAUGUUGGGAAAGACAAGGAAAGAAGAAAAGGACAGGGACCAUCUAGGGAUCUAGAAACAUCAGAAAUGAGAGAACUGUUCAAAUUACUUUUGGAAGAUUUCUUCAAAAGAAGUCACAGCCUUCUUUAUGAGGGGUUGGGAUAAUCUUCCAGAGAACAGUCCAGCAGCUCAGCAUCUGUUUUGGUGCAGAAAUAAUUUUCUAUCUAGAGUCUGGCAUUUCAAUUAUCUUGAAAUUUGCCAAGAAAAUUGAUGAUAAAAUGAAAUAAAUAAUUUUCCUAUUUUAUCUAUUAAAUACUC